UGAGAUGAGCAAAUCGGUCGAGUUUGAGUGGACUCGGGCAAGUUAUAGACACCCUUUACCAUGUAAGAAACAAAAAAAAAGCGUAAAAAAUUGCUUAAAAAAUAAUAAAAAAUGGGAAAAAGUAUUGAGUUACUAGAAUUAAUUAGAAGGCUGAAGAAGAUAUAUAAAAUAUGGACUAAUGAAAACCUUGAUUUAUGUUUUGAAUAUUUUUAAAAAAUUAAAAAAAGGAAAAAAAUAUGAAAGAUCUCAAACCAUCCUAAAAACUAUCAAAAUCAUUUCUAAGCAAUAUAUUUGCAUUUCUUGGUUCCACCAUGGCCGUUCUCAAGCCAAUCGUGCCGGUCCAAAGCCCAGAUAAAGGAAGAAGGGCAGCCAACGUAAAACUUUGUCAUAUCUUUUUAUGAAUUCUAGACCUAUGUUAUAUGCUCAUGCUAGGGCGUCCCGUGUAAACGACGUGUCUUAUAACCUAACUAAGGGUAUGACUCUUGAUAGAGUUGAAUACUGAAAUAGAAUUUGUGUUGCCUACCCCAAAGAGUUGGGAUAAAGCUCGGGUGAUGAUAAUGAUGUUAUUUGUCGUUUCUAAUUUUUUUUAGAUUUUUAACGAUUUUUAAAAAAAAAUUUAGGGGACUGUUGUGGUGGGCAGUUGGAUACCCAACCUGCCCAAAACUCACCUCACCACUAGAGCGAGGUCGAGUUAUUCAGCCGAGUCGGAGUGGACUCGCCGAGUCGUGGAACACUGAGAUUAAGUGUGUUAUAAUCACAUACAAAUAUAUACAUGAUACAUAAUAGUUCUUCUCAACACUCCCCCUCAAACUGGAUAAUGUGGAUCCCGCAUUAAUCUUGGUUGCAUUAGCUCCGGAUUGGAUAUUGAACAUGGAAAAAUGCUUGCUAGGCGAUGGUUGUAGAAGUCCAUUUCCAUAUUAUUGAAGGCCUUGCCUUGUUGCACUUGCACGUAUGAGACAUCAAGGCAGAUUUAGAUGUGCCAGUCCCUUAUGAGGUGUUUGUCCUGCACAAAUAGUAACAAUGUAUGGUAAAUUUGUACAGGAAAGCAAAUUUAUUUGGGAAAUAGCACUUCUUCUCAAUGGGGGCAUAAAAAAAGGAAAAACUGCUAUCUCCAACUUGGAUUUGUCCACCCUGUGCAUAUCACCCAUCCAUGUGGGCAGUAAUUAUCUGGAUUACAACACUCCAGCUUUAGGUGUACAACAGUUGAAGUUUGGUUUUUCUCUGAUUGUCUUUUAUUACCUUCUGUUAUUUGUCUUGGUCAUGAAGUGUACUUCCUUGUUAACAAUUGAAUGGAUUUACUUAUAUGUCUUCUGGCAGCCAAAUUUAUACACUUUA
rnacentral:lncRNA from 1 species